rnacentral:rRNA from 1 species
AUGGUAGGAUAGAGGCCUACCAUGGUUUUAACGGGUAACGGGGAAUUAGGGUUCGAUUCCGGAGAGGGAGCCUGAGAAACGGCUACCACAUCCAAGGAAGGCAGCAGGCGCGCAAAUUACCCAAUCCCGACACGGGGAGGUAGUGACAAUAAAUAACAAUAUGGGGCUCUUACGAGUCUCGUAAUUGGAAUGAGUACAAUUUAAAUCUCUUAACGAGGAACAAUUGGAGGGCAAGUCUGGUGCCAGCAGCCGCGGUAAUUCCAGCUCCAAUAGCGUAUAUUAAAGUUGUUGCAGUUAAAAAGCUCGUAGUUGAAUUUCGGGGUUCAUACGUUGGUCGGGCUUUUUGGUCUGUACUAGCGUAAUGGAUUCCUACCUUCUGAAUAACCGGCAUGUCAUUAAUUUGGUGCGCCGGGGAAGCAGGACUGUUACCUUGAAAAAAUUAGAGUGCUUAAAGCAGGCUAUCGCCUGAAUACAUUAGCAUGGAAUAAUGAAAUAGGACGGCAUGGUUCUAUUUUGUUGGUUUCUAGGAUCACCGUAAUGAUUAAUAGGGAUAGUUGGGGGCAUUAGUAUUCAAUUGUCAGAGGUGAAAUUCUUGGAUUUAUUGAAGACUAACUUCUGCGAAAGCAUUUGCCAAGGAUGUUUUCAUUAAUCAAGAACGAAAGUUAGGGGAUCGAAGACGAUCAGAUACCGUCGUAGUCUUAACCAUAAACUAUGCCGACUAGGGAUCGGACGAUGUUAAUUUUUUAAUGACUCGUUCGGCGCCUUACGGGAAACCAAAGUGUUUGGG